UUUUUUGGGCAGAGAAGUUUUUACAAUCUUCUCAACGAAAGAUGGAGAUGGUAUGACCUAUUCCAAGAUAACUUUUGGAAACCGAACCACUGGAAGGAGUAAAGUGUUUGAGCAGCUUUGUGAUUGGCCACUGAUGGGACCACAACAACGCAACCACAUUUUGCCAAGCCUGACUUAGGUGUAACGGCAGCAGACUCAAGAAUGUUAGGCCCAUAGCCCGGUCAGUAUAUAGGAGCUGCUUUGGUUGACUGCUAUUUGAAACAUUUAGGUAAGCAAGGGUAGUUGAGGACUACUAUUGUUAUUACAGUUGAAUAUAUAUAAGGAAAGCUCAUCUGUCUAUGGCCCAACUUUUUCUCCCUUGCCCUAGGUUAUAAAAGCAUCACUUUCUACAUGAUCAUAUGAGCUACUAAAACCAAAAAUGCAAAACGAACAUUGUUUGUUUAAAGUUUAAUUUGAAUAAUUGCGCCUUUAAUGCUCUCAGCAUUGUUUAAGGCAAUACAUUGAACAAGUAUUUAGUUGCAGUCAAAUCCUUAUUGCUGUGCUAUUCUUUAAAUGCAUCGGUAGAUCAGCUCUUGCAAUACAGAAAUUCAAAGUUUUCGUCUCAUGAUGGUGACUGCUUGUUUUAACUAAGUUGCUGAAAUUUCCUCAGAUAGCUGUGUGCUAUAUGCUUUUAGCCUAAUAUCCCCUUCAUCUUGUUAAGUCCUCAAGUUAAAAGUGUAUGAGCAUUACUUACUGGUUCUUUUUAUUCAUUCUGUGUUAUCACCUAUUAUUUUUUUUUUCUUGUUUCAAGUUUGCUUUCAGCACAUGUUUUUAUCUUCAAUUGUGUGUGAAGUUUCUGCCCAACCCUGCUUACCAGAUAACUGGUAAUGCUGGUUAAUCUGAAAUCUGACUUAUUGUUGAAAUAACUAGAAAAAGUUCUACAUUUAGCCAUGUCUGGGAUAACUUGUGAAGGUGAUGUGUUAAGACAAAAGCCCCAUUUUCUGAUGGUUUCUUUCUUAACUUUUAUGUGUUAGCUUUUGUGUUGGUGGUGCUCCCUCUGAUUUCUUUGGACCUUGGAAAGGGUUCCUUUGCUUCUUCUCAAUAUAGCCAUAAUUCUGGAUUUAUAUUUGUUAUUCAUGCUACUAUUGAGGAACAGAGAUAUGAAUUUAUAUGAUGCACUUUUGUUUAUUUUUACUGAACUAUGUAUAUGUUUUAAGCUUAAAAGUCUGCCAAAAAUGCAUCAGAGGUCAUUGCUCUUUUUUUUUUUGUAUAAGCAAAAUUAUGGUGUUUCUGUUACAAAAUUCCCGCCGUUGAUCUCUCUCAACCAUCGUUGCUUGUUUCAGAUAAUUUCUUAACCUGCAUGAGCCAUUUCUGCAUCCAUUGUGAUUCAUUCAGGAAAGAUUUUUGACUCUAUUGCAUGCUGGUCCUUUCAUCUAUCAAGGACUUGCAAUCUCCAUUUAUUUGAUACUUUGAGGAGUGGCAUUGAAGGUAACAACAGAACACAUUUGGUUGUUCUGAUUAAAGAUAAUAUGUAAAGGUGAAGAGAUAGAAUACGGGAAUUCAUAUGGUAUUUAUAGUCCCUCAUCUACUUGUGAAAUUUCCUUCAGGUGUUUGACAGCACUGUCAAUAGUACCUUGUGAUACAUUUAGCUCCCAUACAUUCAGUGUUCAACAUUUAUAUGAUCACCAAGAAGGAAGUCAGGAUUUUUCUUUGAAUAUGAUUUAAUCUGAAUGAGAGGCUACUUUUAUUGUGCCCUAGUAAAAUGUCCCUUGACUUAGGAUGGAUUUUAUUAUUCUGAUAUCAAAUACUAAAGAAAGUUGCCCAAAAUAUUUUAUCGUGGUAUUUUGGAAAUGAUUGUUUUAGCUUCAGUAGGUAAACUUACAUAAUGAUCUCAUGUUCAUGUUGCAAAAGAACUAGAUGAUUUAGGUCCCACCUUAAGUCUUUCAAAUGUUUAGGUUGAACACAAGUAGAACCAAACCAAGACUUUUAUGACAGUUGUUUCUGUGUCUUCUUAUAAAUUUCUUGUUUUUCUCUCAUCAAUUUAUUCGAGCACAAGAAAACAAGUUCUCGGCUUUUUAUCUGUUCUUUGACUCUGUUUUCCCCUCUAACUGAACUGACACAAUUAUAUAUAUAUUUAGAUUUAACUGAGAUUUGGAUUUUACUAAAUCCUUCUCUUAGAAUUACAUUCACUUUUGAAGAGUAAGUUCAAUGUCUUUCAUCUUCAACAAGUAUACCAUUUAUUGACUGUUUAAAGGGUUAUCAAUUUGCAGGAGUAGAGAAGGCAUUUGAACAAGCUUUGCUGCAUUGGCACAGCUAUGGCUUGAAAGAAUGGCUUCAAUAUUUCCCUACAACUCAUUGAUCUUUAGUCAGAUGUUUCAGUUGAAAACACUGAAGAACAAACCGAGAUGCAUGGAUUUAUUUUAUCUUCACUUGUUCGAUCCACAUUGAUGCCAACAAUAGACCAGUUUCAUGUACAAAUUAAUUCAAGGAAGAAUGUGCUAUCAAUAUCACUUCUUGAAGCGGGCUUGUCUCGACACGGCAACAUUCUUAUGUUUUAUUAUCUUAACCAAUUCUUAAAGGAUGAGAAACCCAAGCUUAUGUAUUCAAAUUUAUAUAUAUCUAUAUAUAUAUAUAUUUUAAGUAACUGACAUGAGAGUAUCAGUUAUUUGAAUAAU